rnacentral:rRNA from 1 species
AGUGAACGCUGGCGGUAGGCCUAACACAUGCAAGUCGAACGGCAGCACAGUAAGAGCUUGCUCUUACGGGUGGCGAGUGGCGGACGGGUGAGGAAUACAUCGGAAUCUACUUUUUCGUGGGGGAUAACGUAGGGAAACUUACGCUAAUACCGCAUUCGACCUACGGGUGAAAGCAGGGGAUCUUCGGACCUUGCGCGAUUGAAUGAGCCGAUGUCGGAUUAGCUAGUUGGCGGGGUAAGGGCCCACCAAGGCGACGAUCCGUAGCUGGUCUGAGAGGAUGAUCAGCCACACUGGAACCGAGACACGGUCCAGACUCCUACGGGAGGCAGCAGUGGGGAAUAUUGGACAAUGGGCGCAAGCCUGAUCCAGCCAUACCGCGUGGGUGAAGAAGGCCUUCGGGUUGUAAAGCCCUUUUGUUGGGAAAGAAAAGCAGCAGGUUAAUACCCCGCUGUUCUGACGGUACCCAAAGAAUAAGCACCGGCUAACUUCGUG